rnacentral:rRNA from 1 species
CGAGACGAACGCUGGCGGCGUGCCUAAUACAUGCAAGUCGAACGGUCUUUCUAUGGAAGCUUGCUUCCACUGAGAAGAUAGUGGCGAACGGGUGAGUAACACGUGGGUAACCUGCCCAUAAGAGGGGGAUAACAUCCGGAAACGGGUGCUAAUACCGCAUAGUUUUCUUGAUCGCAUGAUCGGGAAAGGAAAGACGGCCUUUGUGCUGUCGCUUAUGGAUGGACCCGCGGCGUAUUAGUUAGUUGGUGAGGUAACGGCUCACCAAGACGAUGAUACGUAGCCGACCUGAGAGGGUGAUCGGCCACAUUGGGACUGAGACACGGCCCAAACUCCUACGGGAGGCAGCAGUAGGGAAUCUUCCGCAAUGGACGAAAGUCUGACGGAGCAACGCCGCGUGAGUGAAGAAAGGUUUUCGGAUCGUAAAACUCUGUUGUCAGAGAAGAACAAGUUGGAGAGUAACUGCUCCAGCCUUGACGGUAUCUGACCAGAAAGCCACGGCUAACUACGUGCCAGCCGCAGC